UGUAAUCACCUCUUAUACCUGAUAGAAAUUCCUGCUGCACGCCUACCGCCGCCUGUGGAUUGAAAAGGGUUGCAUAGCCGACAACAGGGUAAAACUUGUUGGAUCAAACUCCCGCCUACUGAGAUAAAGGCUUGGUAUGUUGUUGUCCAUCUGAAUUCUUCCCAAACCACUAUCUUUCCUGAUUGUGGCACCGGAAGUUAGGUGUAAAAACGUGCUUUAGCGAUGUUUAUGUGGAAUCCAAACUGGAGAAGAAUUAGUAUCUGGCAGUAAAAGGAGGUAAGAGCGACAACUUUCAGCUGCGAGUACUGAGAAUCAGAGUCCCCACCUCAGCAAACAAAGCCACACAAAUACGGACUUCUCAUGGAAGAAGGACAGGAUGUUCUUACUGAUGGGGCUUUGCUGGGGUCGUCUAUGUCCUACUGAACAAAAGGAUGACAGAGUGGGGUACUAUGUAGAGCCAAUGAGCUGUCCUCCCUUCACUUUUAAGAAAUUGGCAGUACCGAUCCUCUGCACUGUAGCUGUUUCUCAAGUGGAUACUUGAGGUCAGCCAGUUCACAAUUGUGGGAAUUUCAGGGCACGAUAAGCCCUUCAAGUAGCAGGAAAUGUAUAAAAGUCAUGGCGCAACAGACUAUUGCUUCUAACCUAUAACAACCGCUUGGGUUGUGAUUCUGCUACAUCAUAGGUUUGUUGGGGAUGUGAAGGAUGUCGAGCUCAUUUGCAGGUAUAAUUGGAGGUGCCGGAGUGGUGCUAGCAGUGCUGGCAAUAGUUAUAGGUAUUGUCUGCUAUUGCAUGUUGCAACAUAAAAGAUUCUCAAACAGGAAUUCGGAUACAGGUUCUUCAGAUCCAUCUGCAGUAGUUGAGUUGAGGAGAGGAGGCGGCCCUGGUUCAUCCACAGCCACAACUAUACCGGGACGAAAUGGAGCUGUUCAAUUCACCAUAGGAGAGUUGGAGCAGGCUACCAAGCAUUUUCACGAAAGCAAUCUCAUUGGAUACGGAAGUUUUGGUCUUGUUUACAAAGGAUUAUUGCUUCGUGAUGGCAACUUUGUUGCUAUCAAAAAGCGUACUGGUGCCCCUCGAAGAGAACUUGUUGAGGAGGUAGCUUAUUUAUCAAGGAUUUCGCACCGCAACUUAGUAACACUUCUAGGUUACUGUCAGGAAAGUGGAUAUCAAAUGUUAGUUUUCGAAUAUUUACCCAAUGGCAGCAUGUGCAAUCAUUUGUAUGAUGAUCGAAAAGAUUUGACAACAAAACUAGAAUUCAAGCAAAGGCUAUCCAUAAGUCUUGGGGCAGCUAAAGGUUUGUGGCAUUUGCAUAACCAGAAACCUCCCGUAGUGCAUGGAAACUUCAAAACAGCAAAUGUCUUGGUUGAUGAAAACUUCAUUGCUAAAGUCGCAGAUGCAGGGGUUUACAAACUACUUCCAAGAACAGACGAUGCAGCAUUUAGGGCAGGCCAAAUGGGGAUUUUCUCUGAAAUGAAUGAUGUGUUCAGCUUUGGAGUAUUCCUUUUGGAGCUUGUAACUGGUCGGGAGGCUUCAAAUCUUGACGCCUUUGGAUCUAAUGAAACUAUGCUUCAAUGGGUUGAAACAGGUUUAAGUUCGAAUGAUUUUGUGGACCAUCGGCUAGAUGGAAGCUUCACCUCGGAGGGAAUGCGAGAUUUCAUGAGGCUGGCGCUGCAAUGCAUGAGUUUUCCCGGGGAAAGGAGACCAAAUAUGGAAAUGGUUGUGUCACAACUCGACGGAAUACUCGAGAAAGAGAUCACUCUCACCACUGUAAUGGGUGAGAGCUCCACCACGGUUACUCUUGGAAGCCAGCUAUUUACUUCUUGAAAAGCAUAAAGAAGAAGAAGACGAGCAUUGCUGGGUACUGGCCUUUUUCAUUUAUGUGAUCUGUUCUUCUAUUGAGAUGGGCCAGAGGCGGCCUACAAAAGAAGGUAAUUAAGGAUCUUUACAUGAACAAGAUUCUCAUCUUUUAUAGAGAAAUGAGAAGGGGCAAAUUGCUCUCGGUAUGACAUGUUAUGUGCUAAGACUAGGAGGUCUAAGAACACUAUGAACAGAAACAUUGAUCAGCUGUGAAGAUUGCAUCCUUCAAAUAGACAGAUUAAUUUAAACUGGGGUGCUUUCAGAUUAAUUCCCUCAUAAGAAGAGUACUAGAAAACUUGUCAUACUCAUAGAGGAUUAUUUGAAUGUUUGAGAUAGUUUAGUUGGAUCAACUGUCAAGAUUUAGAUGGCCUUGUCAACUCCCCUGCUUAACAAUGGCUCCUGCAUUCAUUUGGUAGCAAAUUUUUGUUUUUUCCGGAGAUCGUGACCAUAGUUGUUAAAUCGAGA